UACGAAGGGGGCUAGCGUUGCUCGGAAUCACUGGGCGUAAAGCGCACGUAGGCGGAUCUUUAAGUCAGGGGUGAAAUCCUGGAGCUCAACUCCAGAACUGCCUUUGAUACUGAGGAUCUUGAGUCCGGGAGAGGUGAGUGGAACUGCGAGUGUAGAGGUGAAAUUCGUAGAUAUUCGCAAGAACACCAGUGGCGAAGGCGGCUCACUG
rnacentral:rRNA from 1 species